CAGCAGCCACGGUAAUACGGAGGGUGCAAGCGUUAAUCGGAAUUACUGGGCGUAAAGCGCACGCAGGCGGUCUGACAAGUCAGAUGUGAAAUCCCCGGGCUUAACCUGGGAACCGCAUUUGAAACUGUCAGGCUGGAGUCUUGUAGAGGGGGGUGGAAUUCCAGGUGUAGCGGUGAAAUGCGUAGAGAUCUGGAGGAAUACCGGUGGCGAAGGCGGCCCCCUGGACAAAGACUGACGCUCAGGUGCGAAAGCGUGGGGAGCAAACAGGAUUAGAUAUCCCGGUAGUCCCUGUCUCUUAUAC
rnacentral:rRNA from 1 species